rnacentral:lncRNA from 1 species
CUGAAAUCUAGGGUUUUUGGUUUUCAAAGGCAAGGGGAUUACAGAUCCGUGCACAGAUGCAAACUCACUGGUAAAGCAUAUUUGACAUAGCAUAUUUGGGCUGCGCUACCCUGAGCAAUCCCCCCUCCCAGCUGAAAAGUUCUGGCCUUCCCUCCAAGAUGGAACAGUNACAAGUUAGGGACCCACACAGCUGUUCUGCUCCUACAUAAGACAAGUUAUAUUUAGCUUUGCUCAAAAGCGUAAAGCGAUCCCAAUCUUAAGCACAGACAAAGCAGAAGACCCCCCAAUACCCAGGAUGAGCGACAUAAUCCUUGGGAGUGAAGGCACUGACAGGCGUGAAAGAAGAGAAGAGAUAUCUCUUAGCCCACGAACUGGCUGCUAAUGAGCACAUCAUGACUCUUUUGGAUAAGAAUAGUCAAGCUAUGCCUUCACACAGGAUGCUAUCACAUUCUUUUUGCUAACUCUUUUUACCUACAAGGACUGAUGUCGAUUUAUGUUUUGCCNCUGUUUUUAUCUUUUAAUACAGCUUUAAGUGUUUUUCUCUCUUAAGAGCUAGGGCCUGCACACAGUGCACACGAGUGUCUGGACACUCACUAGCAUUAAAGUGUGAACAGGCCUACGUGUUAGGUGUGGAGAAAUACCUGGAACAUAUCAUCUUCUGGGACAGCAAAACUAAAAGAAACCGAAUGCGUAGGAUGGGGUAGGUAUAUCCAGACCUUCCUAAUUUUAACUGUAUAGCCAGCCUUCAAAAGUCUAUGGAGGUCUUAAAAUUGUGGGUUUUAUAUAUCCAAGAGUAGGAAACUGGAACCUCCGUUAUUAAACUUAAUGAAGUAACUCAGAAGUAACUCAAGCAUUUGUCCUCUAACUUUGAGCAAUAGUUAGUUUAGUUAACAAAGCCAUCAAAGUAUCUUUCUCUUUUCUGCAGCACAUAAAAUGUAACAAACAUAGAUUAGGGGUCUUUUAAAUAUAUGGGAAUGGACAAUACUGAGGAACAGAAGCUGAAGGCUAUAGGCAUUCAAGGAGAAAAUUAUUUANAGACCGAUGGAAUAGUUGUAUAAGAUCUAAACAGUUCUGGGAGAGAUGGAAUAGGAAUAAGAAAAACAGAAUUCUGACUUGGAUUACUGAAAUGGAAGAAUAAAUUAUGGGCUUCUGGUUAUUUGUUAAAUGAU